rnacentral:lncRNA from 1 species
CAGGUUUCCAGGAAAUAAGUCUGAUGAUGCAAUCACAAAAGAUGAUACCUCACUUUAAAUCUGAUGACUUCAAAGUAGGCCUGAGAUGACUACCCUCAAAUAGGUUGAUUUUGGCAUCAGUAACACUACAGGUAAAAGCGUGCAUUAAAACUGAAGGCACAGCCUGCACAUUUGCUUCUGUAGUCCAGCAUUUAGCUUGUCUGCUGAAGAACGGUUUUAAAAAUAUCCCAGAGAAGAUGACACCACUUAUACUCUUUGACAAAUGAAUUGGGAGAUGAACAGACAUUGAAAAGAAUAUAGGAAAUGUAUCACAUUGUUUAAAAAUAAAGUCAAAAACAUCCUUUAGAAGCUUCAGAAACAAAA